ensembl:lncRNA
AAGAUUUGGAAGCUCUUCAAAUAUAGACUCCAAUUUCUGCAAAUAUAUUUUCUCUGCAAAAGUAUGGAGGGGGAAGGAAGAGAAAGAAACAGCAUGAGGAAAAUUAAAGGAGGUUCGGGCCUGACAAAAAGAUGUAGAUUCUUUAGAGGAGACAGCAUACAUAUUUGAAAGGCGGGUAGUUGGUGACCCCAUCUCCCCCACCUUAAAACUCAGUCCAUUCACUCUGUCCCAUUAGUAUUAUAAUGCCACUGGGAAUAUGUAUGGACUGCCCGGAGAAAGAGGUGUGCUGCCCUGUGCCAGAGGGAAGGAGAAAAGAAGAGUGAGGAGAGGGAGGGGGAGAAGAAAGACCAAACUUGGAAUAUGGGAAACCCCCAGGUCUGUAUAAUGUAUAGAUUUCCUUGUCCCCCCACCCUCUGAUUUCCUUCCCAUCUUAUUUCAUGCCUAAACACAACUAUCAGUCCCAAACUUGCAGAAGAGAGAAGGGAGCGGGAUAACCCAAACACAGGAGCCCUGCAGACCUGCAUACAGCAGCUGCAAUGUUCAGCUAGGCCUUUUGACUUUCUUGAUAGCAUGGUCUGUCUGGAAGUCAGUCAGCAAUGGGUCAGGCCCAGCACGGGGCUCUUAGACAAGAUAGAGACAGAGAAUCACUGGAAUUGACAUAGGAGAUAAUAAGUUAUGUGAUUAAAUGUAUUAUGUAAAAUGAGAUCCAUAUUGAGGUUAUUGACCCAGAUAGAGGUUAUAGGUUUUAUAAAAACAUCUAUGUCUGUAGACAGGUUAUCUAUAGUGCACCCUAUGGCAGGACAGGAUAAAUUGUAGGUGGUCCAAAUAUACGAGUAACUGCCUUAAGUCCAAUUACUUUCCAUUCAACCCCUGCCGGUCAAACAGACAUUGAAAUACCUUACAAUCUUUUCCAACUCAUAUACUUUCCUCAAAAGAUAAUCAGUGCAGCAGGUAGCCUAGUGGUUAGGGCGUUGGACUAGUAACCAAAAGGUUGCAAGAUUGAAUCCCCAAGCUGACAAGGUAAAAAUCUGUCAUUCUGCCCCUGAACAAGGCAGUUCAUUCACCCACUGUUCCUAGGCAGUCAUUGAAAAUAAGAAUUUGUUCUUAACUGACUUGCCUGGUUAAAUACAUUUUAAAAAGACUGAACCAUAAUUAGAAAAGUUAUAGAGGAGGUUGUCUUUCUGUGUUAUGUGGAUUUAACAGAAAAUGGUGGUGUUUAGACAGACGGGGAGGCCCCCGCAUCGUCGUGUUGGCAUUGGCCCUCGUGGUCCAACCAGGACUAACUCAUGGCAGGCCCAGGAGUGUGAGUCUGUGUCUUGGACAGAGAAACACACAUGCACACACAGACAGAGAGACACACACACACAUGGGAUGGGG